GAUCGUGAUGAUGCUGUCAAGACGUGUUUCUGCUGCGAUGGAGGCCUGCGAUGCUGGAAGGCUGAAGAUUAUCCCUGAGUGGAGCAUGCUAAAUGGUUUCCUCAGUGUGAAUAUGGGCUCCAGGAGAAGGGACAAGAAUUUUUGUUCACCCAAUUCAGGCUCGUUUUCCUUGGCUGUCUGAGCAGAGUGCAGUCUAGUAAAGCACACCGUCCAGAGAAACAUCCAGACCAGUGGAGAGAACUGCUGAACAGUCCAGACCAGGAGCUGAGCUGCUGAGUGUUGAAUACCAG